rnacentral:rRNA from 1 species
AUGGACAAGUAUCACAGCAACACCCGCUUUGCACCCCUGAGAGACGCUCCAUUUGCUCUCCGUGGUGCCUUUGGUACCUCCAACUCGUCUUUCAACAACAUGGAUGGCCUUAGACACUCCUCAAGCAUUGGGCAAGCAAGGAGCUACACAUCUUCUCCCUUAGGAGCUCUGCGACAGAAGAUUCCUCCAUCUGGAAACCGAUCCCUACAUACAAGUCGUCCCCUGUCUGCUCCUGUUGCGAACCGCCCACUGUCUCCCCAUCUUCCUCUGAAGAAGCCACAGCUGAGCGCUACGUUCUCCAUCUCACACCGUAUAUUUGGCGUCGCUCUGGGUGCUGCCAUCAUAUCCAUUCCUCUUGCUACCAGGUUCAGCGUCAUGUUUGAGGUCUGA